rnacentral:lncRNA from 1 species
UGGAAUUUAACAAUUUCAGUCUCAUAACAGCACAGUUAAUCAUAUUGCUCCUGUACAGAGGCUACCAUAUCUACUGAUUUUGGUCAUUCAAUCAUCUAACUAAGCGGGCUGCUGCUUAAAGUUUAUGCAGAACUUCAUCAUUGAUUCAACUAAACGAACAUGAGGUUUAAGCUUUCAGGUAGAUUCGAAACUAAAUGUCAUGACAAAGUCUAUUUAUACAUCAUUGGUUUUCAAGUUACCGAGCAUUCGACCAAAACUGAACCUCAUGUCUAUCUCAACUCAGACUCACCCUCAAGGAGCAUUGUCACUGACCAACACACAAACAUGAAUAUAUACAAACUAAAGUUUCCAAAUAAAGACAAAAUUAAGCUCCUACAAUAAGAACAAAUGGCCAACAUGCUUCAAGUCUUCCAGAUUUCCAUAUCACAAGGUUCUUACAUUGAGAAGAGUUAAAUAAGUACCUGAGAUCAUAAAUAAGAGAGGGUAAGAAGAUCAACAACACAAUAACAAAAAGCAAGGGUCAGCAGCAAAGCAGAUCAACAGAAUCGACCAUCAGCUCCGAAAAUCGAAUUUCAAACCCAGAAGUUGAAAUAAACAACCAGAAACCAAUUCGAUCCAAACAAUGGACCUAGAAAACCGCAACCUAAGUUGAUUUUAAUACAUUUCUAAGGUCGACUAGUCAGUAUUUGUUGUAUUAUUAGCAAAAAUUCAGAAAUGAGCCAAAGAACUCAAUGGAAAAGUACCCUUUCUGAAUUUUUUCGUCUAGAAUUUUCAGAGAUUUUUAGCCCUUCCCAGUUUCUUGGGUCUGUAUUUUAGCUCUUGAAUCCUUCUAAUUCUCCCUUGAAUGACAAGGAAUAGAUGCCUUUAUAUGCAAGCAAAUAGGGAAGACCCAAGGAGAUACAUUUUUGUCAUUUAGUCCCUUUUUAGAUAUUAUUAUAGCUUAAACAACCCUGGUUUAAAUUCAGAUUUUGCCAAGUAGUCCCCUCCCUCAGCUUCCUAAAAGCUUCCCAGACAGUUACAAGUAGAUUCCCUUACUAAGACUACCCAAACUAACCCCAUACCCCUAUUAUUUACCUUAAACCCCAAAUGAAACAUGGGUCAAAUUAACCCACGGCUGAAUUUACCCCAAGAAACCAAACCAAUUUGGAGGGGCUGCUCUUUGCCAAAUGGACCAAAGACAAACCAAAUCCCAAACGAACACUUAUCUAUUUGAAAAAGAAAAAUCUGCAAGCCAUGAUAACAUGAAAUGAUUUCAAAGCAAAUCUACUAACUUACUGAUCAAUUAACGAUGACUAGGCAAGGAUUUAACUUAGUUGAAGUAACUUAAUUUAAAAAAAAUAACUUGGAUGUCUAAAUAGAAAACAAGAUCGGAGAAUUAUCCAUGUUAUUAACACAACGGACUAAAGAAAUCAGAAAACAAAUUUCACGAAGAAGAGAAGGACAAUGACCGGAAGACCAAUAUAAACUCGAGAGAUUAGUAGAGUUUCAACCAGACUAAUAUAAGAAGAUUAAGCUAAAGAAAAGGGGAAGAAGAAGAGAAUAAGACAAUCAAAAAGGAAGAGAAGAUAAGAGAAGAAAAGAGCUUACCGAUUUAGACUCGAAAUCCAUCGGAGAUGAAAGCCCUAACAAAGCUAAGGUCGAACAUUUGAAUCUGAACUUCAGACCUCGAAGAACGGUGCCUUCUGCCCAUGCAUGUACCAGGAUUGACGAAAGAGUAAUUUUGAACUUUUGGGGUUGACCUCAGAUUCGAGAUUCGUGGAGCUCUGGGCCGAUUCGAAGGACAGUAGUUGUGGAUUUGGCAUGAGGGGAUUCUGGGGGUUGUGGGGUGUUAGUUUAGGGUUGAACGGAGGCGGAACCGCCACCGGAGAGCAGAAGGGCGGCGCUAGGGUUUUCUUUCAAAACCAGAUUCGAGACGUUCUGGGUUGAUUCGAGGCAAACAGAGGGGGAAUUUUGAAUGAGGGGCUCUUGAUGGUCAUGGGGUGUUAUUUUGGGAGUGGUUGGAGGUGGCACCGCCGGUGGAUGGUGGCGGAAAAGGGGCGGUUCCGUUAGGGUUAGGCUUGGGUCUUUGAUAGACGGGGGUGUUUGGAACGAUGAAAUGAGG